rnacentral:rRNA from 1 species
GAUAUGGCUCAGGAUGAACGCUAGCUACAGGCUUAACACAUGCAAGUCGAGGGGCAGCAUGGACCCAGCUUUGCUGGGUUUGAUGGCGACCGGCGCACGGGUGAGUAACGCGUAUCCAACCUGCCCUUUACUCCGGGAUAGUCUCCUGAAAGGGAGUUUAAUACCGGAUGUGUUUGUCUUUCCGCAUGGGAGCGACAAAUAAAGAUUAAUUGGUAAAGGAUGGGGAUGCGUCCCAUUAGCUUGUUGGCGGGG